CCCUUCUGUAGUGUGUUUUGUCUCAGAGCUGAAAGAAAUGAGAUGAUGAUGAACGUGACACUUGGGUUGCCAUGGGAACACAGCAUGAAGCUCGUGUUAGCAGUGCUCCUUCCUGCAAGCGAGCACCACUGGCUCUGGAGAUGGGCACAAGCAGCACCUGCCCAGGUCUCACCCACAAAAUCUUGGGGUGAGCCCUAUUUAUUUUACCACAGGAAGACCUGAAGGGACAAGUCACUGCAAGCCAUGCUGGGACGCGGGAGCCUGGGUCUCCAUUAUGAUUACACUACAGUGAGUGCCAAAGACUGCCUGGAAAUUGGAUCAGCUGAGCUUUGAACAGUAUCUGCUGCUUUUCCCACCGAAUCAGAAGCCAGCCUACCUCUGCAGAGCUUCACCGCCAUGCUCAGACCCAGGUGCAGCCCAGACAACACUGAAACCCUGGAAAUCUGCUGGCAGUGAGAAAUGCUCAUCUCCUUCCCCCUCUGUGCUGUGGUUCUGUUUACCCGAGGUGCAGAUGAUUACCUGGUUUUACCCACAAUACCCAAGCAAAAUGAUUCUGCACUUUGGAAGGACACCUGGCUGCUCACCUCAGCACAUCCUGAUGCUGCUGCUUAUCAGGAAAAAAAAACAGCUCAGUAAGUUCUUCUUGCUGCAAUAUUUUUGGUUGAGGCCUCUUUGAAGAUGCUCCUGAAAUCAUGAGAUCACCACAGCCCACCUUAUCUGGAGUGGAUAAAGGCAAGCAUCUGGUG
ensembl:lncRNA